GACGAACGCUGGCGGCGUGCUUAACACAUGCAAGUCGAACGGAAAGGCCCUGCUUUUGUGGGGUGCUCGAGUGGCGAACGGGUGAGUAACACGUGAGUAACCUGCCCUUGACUUUGGGAUAACUUCAGGAAACUGGGGCUAAUACCGGAUAGGAGCUCCUGCUGCAUGGUGGGGGUUGGAAAGUUUCGGCGGUUGGGGAUGGACUCGCGGCUUAUCAGCUUGUUGGUGGGGUAGUGGCUUACCAAGGCUUUGACGGGUAGCCGGCCUGAGAGGGUGACCGGACCAAUUGGGACUGAGAUACGGCCCAGACUCCUACGGGAGGCAGCAGUGGGGAAUAUUGCACAAUGGGCGGAAGCCUGAUGCAGCAACGCCGCGUGCGGGAUGACGGCCUUCGGGUUGUAAACCGCUUUCGCCUGUGACGAAGCGUGAGUGACGGUAAUGGGUAAAGAAGCACCGGCUAACUACGUG
rnacentral:rRNA from 1 species